UCCUCUUCCUGGCAGGGGGGGGAGGGGGUGGGAGAGAGAGAGAGAGAGAGCCUGAGACACCACCCAUUCUCUGUGCAUCUACAGGUGCAGUGUACAGUACAACCCCUCUAAUUGGAACUAAUUAGUGGGAACGUGAUAGAGAUUUGGGAAAUCUACAGAGUAAAUGGACGUGAUGCUGUUGUGACUCCUUAAAGAAGUGAGGAAGAUUGUGUUCAUAUCCAUGCCAUGUGUAUAGUAGGUGCAUAUCCAAUACAAAUUUAUUUUAAU